UACGUAGGGGGCUAGCGUUGUCCGGAAUCAUUGGGCGUAAAGCGUGCGCAGGCGGUUAUGUAAGACAGGUGUGAAAUCCCAGGGCUUAACCUUGGAACUGCAUUUGUGACUGCAUAGCUAGAGUACGGUAGAGGGGGAUGGAAUUCCGCGUGUAGCAGUGAAAUGCGUAGAUAUGCGGAGGAACACCGAUGGCGAAGGCAAUCCCCUGGACCUGUACUGACGCUCAUGCACGAAAGCGUGGGGAGCAAACAGG
rnacentral:rRNA from 1 species